CACCGCGGUUAUACGAGAGGCCCAAGUAGAUGGGCAGACGGCGUAAAGAGUGGUUAAGAACCUCAUGCAAAUAAAGCUAAACACCCUCACCACAGUAAUACGUUGUCGAGACCACAGAGACCCAACUACGAAAGUGGCUUUACUACCCCUCCCACCCACAAAAGCUCUGAAA
rnacentral:rRNA from 1 species